GAAUUUAAGCUCAAGGAUCAGGA
rnacentral:piRNA from 1 species